AUGGGCUCCAGAGAAGCCCUCUCACGGCGAAAACAGGGGUUCGAGUCCCCUUGGGAGCGCCA
rnacentral:tRNA from 1 species